rnacentral:rRNA from 1 species
CCUACGGGAGGCUGCAGUAGGGAAUAUUGCUCAAUGGGGGAAACCCUGAAGCAGCAACGCCGCGUGGAGGAUGAAGGUUUUCGGAUUGUAAACUCCUUUUGUUAGAGAAGAUAAUGACGGUAUCUAACGAAUAAGCACCGGCUAACUCCGUGCCAGCAGCCGCGGUAAUACGGAGGGUGCAAGCGUUACUCGGAAUCACUGGGCGUAAAGAGCGCGUAGGCGGGAUAGCAAGUCAGAUGUGAAAUCCUAUGGGUUAACCAUAGAACUGCAUUUGAAACUGUUAUUCUAGAGUAUGGGAGAGGUAGGUGGAAUUCUUGGUGUAGGGGUAGAAUGCGUAGAGAUCAAGAGGAAUACUCAUUGCGAAGGCGACCUGCUAGAACAUAACUGACGCUGAUGCGCGAAAGCGUGGGGAGCAAACAGGAUUAGAUACACGGGUAGUC